UUGAUCAUGGCUCAGAUUGAACGCUGGCGGCAGGCUUAACACAUGCAAGUCGAGCGGAGAGAGGUAGCUUGCUACUGAUCUUAGCGGCGGACGGGUGAGUAAUACUUAGGAAUCUGGCUAUUAGUGGGGGACAACAUUUCGAAAGGGAUGCUAAUACCGCAUACGUCCUACGGGAGAAAGCAGGGGAUCUUCGGACCUUGCGCUAAUAGAUGAGCCUAAGUCGGAUUAGCUAGUUGGUGGGGUAAAGGCCUACCAAGGCGACGAUCUGUAGCGGGUCUGAGAGGAUGAUCCGCCACACUGGGACUGAGACACGGCCCAGACUCCUACGGGAGGCAGCAGUGGGGAAUAUUGGACAAUGGGGGGAACCCUGAUCCAGCCAUGCCGCGUGUGUGAAGAAGGCCUUAUGGUUGUAAAGCACUUUAAGCGAGGAGGAGGGUACUGGUAUUAAUACUACCAGGUACUGGACGUUACUCGCAGAAUAAGCACCGGCUAACUCUGUGCCAGCAGCCGCGGUAAUACAGAGGGUGCGAGCGUUAAUCGGAUUUACUGGGCGUAAAGCGUGCGUAGGCGGCUAAUUGAGUCGGAUGUGAAAUCCCCGAGCUUAACUUGGGAAUUGCAUUCGAUACUGGUUAGCUAGAGUGUGGGAGAGGAUGGUAGAAUUCCAGGCGUAGCGGUGAAAUGCGUAGAGAUCUGGAGGAAUACCGAUGGCGAAGGCAGCCAUCUGGCCUAACACUGACGCUGAGGUACGAAAGCAUGGGGAGCAAACAGGAUUAGAUACC
rnacentral:rRNA from 1 species